AAGAUUUUAAGUUAAAUAAAAACUAAUAGUCUUCAAAACUAUUUAUAAAGUAAUCUUCUUUAAGUCUUA
rnacentral:tRNA from 1 species